rnacentral:rRNA from 1 species
UACGUAGGGGGGCUAGCGUUGUCCGGAAUCAUUGGGCGUAAAGCGCGUGUAGGCGGCCCGGUAAGUCCGCUGUGAAAGUCGGGGGGCUCAACCCUCGGAUGCCGGUGGAUACUGUCGGGCUCGAGUACGGAAGAGGCGAGUGGAAUUCCAUGGUGUAGCGGUGAAAUGCGCAGAUAUCAGGAGGAACACCGAUUGCGAAGGCAGCUCGCUGGGACGUUACUGACGCUGAGACGCGAAAGCGUGGGGAGCAAACAGG